rnacentral:rRNA from 1 species
AUUGAACGCUGGCGGCAUGCCUUACACAUGCAAGUCGAACGGCAGCACGGGAGCAAUCCUGGUGGCGAGUGGCGAACGGGUGAGUAAAGUAUCGGAACGUGCCCAGUCGUGGGGGAUAACGUAGCGAAAGUUACGCUAAUACCGCAUACGAUCUAUGGAUGAAAGCGGGGGAUCGCAAGACCUCGCGCGAUUGGAGCGGCCGACAUCAGAUUAGGUAGUUGGUGGGGUAAAGGCUCACCAAGCCGACGAUCUGUAGCUGGCCUGAGAGGACGACCAGCCACACUGGGACUGAGACACGGCCCAGACUCCUACGGGAGGCAGCAGUGGGGAAUUUUGGACAAUGGGCGAAAGCCUGAUCCAGCCAUGCCGCGUGCAGGAUGAAGGCCUUCGGGUUGUAAACUGCUUUUGUACGGAACGAAAAGGUUUGGCCUAAUAAGCUGAGCUCAUGACGGUACCGUAAGAAUAAGCACCGGCUAACUACGUGCCAGCAGCCGCCGUAA